ACACCUCUUUACUCUCUCCCCGGUUAUGUGCACCGAUCAGCAGGAGGAUAUUCUCGGACGUUGCUGGGGAUGUAACUAUUUAUGUGGAUGGCCAAUCGUUCCUAUUGCACAAGUUCCCUCUGGUUUCACGAAGUGGAAAAAUCUGGAAAAUGGUAGUUGAAUCCAGGGAGC